GUCCAACCGACCAGCCUAGGCCUGCGGGACUUUGGGCUCUACGAGAGGAUGGAUUCCUGCUCUCGCAGCUCCCAGUAUAAGGAAAUGAACCUGAAGUUGCAGACUGUGAGACUUUUAUGUACUUGUUUACAGAAUAAAGACUUACACUGCAGUCUCUGGAGGUUAAAGAGGAGGACUCCUCACACUCUUCCUCUGCUCUGGUGUGUGGAUCUCAAAGGGCUUCAAGUGGAUCUCUGAUCCACCACGGACCUCCAUAGGCUGCAGUGCACAGCCUGCCUUACCAUGGUCUGCACCACAGGCUGUAGGGGAAUCUCUGCUCUGGCUCCUUGAGCACCUCCUGCCCUCCUUCUGCACUGACCUUGGUGUCUGCAGGGAUGUUUCUAUCACAUAUUCCCACUCCUUUCUUCAGCUGCUGUUGUGCCAGUUUCUCCUUCUGCCCUGCUUCUUAAAUAUAUCCUCCCAAAGGUGCUACCACCAUUGCGGAUGGGCUCCCUGGGCCAGUGGUGGGUCCAUCUUGGAGCCAGCUGCCCUUGGCUCUAAUAGAUAUGGGGGAAGGUUCUAGCAUCUUCUCACAGAAGCCACCCCUGCAGCCCCCCUGCUACUAAAAACUUGCCACACAAACUAAUACAAUGUCUAAGGACACCGCAAACCGAGAAGGUGGGCUCUGUGCCAGCUAUAACUAUGGCAGCACAGAGGAAGAGAAUAUUCAUCCCAGAUUUCUUCAUGAU